CUACAUGCUGCUCCGGAAGGGGAUUUUGUCCCCCGCCGCCGGAGUUGUCGGGGAAGAAGCGAGCGGCUAAAAUACGGGAGGAUCCGGUAAACCGGCGCGGAUCCGGUGUGUUUAUCAAAGCGUGGUGGCCGUGCUGAGGCACCGGGGGGAAUUUAGGCUAAACGGUAAGUCAAAAUAAAACGUCCAUACUUACAGAUGCCACGUUUGUAGUAGGAUCACGGAUAGUUGGUACGGAUCCAUUCUUUAUCUUCAGACAUCUAGCAAAUCCAGCGUUGAACUGUCCCUCGUUGAUAAAACAGUCCGAAGUGAAAUGGUGCGCACAUACGUACAGAUAUUUUGGAAGUGCCGCGGGUACAUUCCCAUUAUAAACAAACUCCACCCAUUGAGUCCUCAAAUCCUGCAACGAGGGAGUUUUCAAAAGAGUUUUGUGCUCGUUUGUGCAGCCAACAACAGAGCAAACGCUGCCUCUUUUUCAGAUCGUACUUUCGCCAUGGUUCUAACCGGAGCUACGUGAGCGAGCGGCCGGAAAUAAUGGCGCUGUUUAGAUAAUCUUUUGGGCAGGGCAGUGGGCGGCUCCAUGGGCAGUACCAUCAACCCGCCAGCACUGACAUGACAUCAUGUCACGUGCCACGUUUGUAGUAAAACUCCACUGACAUGACAUCAUGUCAGUGGAGUUUUCAGAACGGCUCUGAGCACACAGUCCCUAAAUACGGAGAUACAUUUUUUUUCCCACACAUCAGAACAGUGAUUCUUGUGUGAACCUGAUGAUCCUAGGUCAGACACUGUAGAUUCAGCUUCAGUCUUCACUCAUCACUGUCCUCAGGCUUCGUAGUUUGAUAUUAAAACUGUUCUUAACCAGCUAUUUGCAAACUGAAACUGUUAGCUGUAGUAAGAAAUCAGAGCUGGCUCUGACACUAAAAAAGUAGCUGCUUAUUUUUCUCUUUUUACUUAACCAGGAAAUAUCCCAUUGCUAUGAGGAACCUCUUUUUCAAGGGAGUCCUGGCCAAGAGGCAGUAAACACAAAAUACAGAUGCAUGUUUACAUAAAUAAGACACAGAGCUUAAACACUUUAUGAGAAACAAGUACAAAUUGUGGAAUUGGCCUCAAAAAUGCUCAGUUUGGAUUUAAAAGAGCUCAAAGAAAUGAAGUCAGUUAGUUUCCAGUCUUUUAAAAGUAUAUUCCAUGCAUUAGGUGCAGGGUAAAAAAAAUGCCUUUUUACCCAACUCCGUACGAGCAUCAGGGACAGAAAGCAACAAAUGAUCUUGUGAACGAAGAGAAUAAGAUUCAGCAUUUCUCAGAGUAAUUAAGGUGCAAAUGUAUGAGGGCAGCAGACCCAAUAUUGCCUUAUAAAUGAAAGCGUACCGAUGACUUGCCCUUCAGUCAUCCUACUAGAGAGUAUAAUUCACAAUGUUGAGUGGACUUCUUACAGUUAGUAAUGAACCUCAAAGAAGCACGAUUAACAGUAUCAAUCAUUAUAAGACAUUGGGCAGGAGCAUUUGUGUACAAGGGUCUCCGUAAUCCAACAAAUACUGCAGUGACAAGACGAUUUUAUUUACAUUAAAAGAAAAACACAACUUGUUUUGAUGAUAAAAACCUAAUUUUUGCUUCAGCUUCUCCACAAGAUUGUCUAUGUGUGGCUUGAAAGUGAGUGAGUCAUCGAUCAAGACUCCUAAGUAUUUAUAAACCACUUCUAUUUCUCUGCCCUCAAGAGUGGACACUGCAUUGAGAACCAGUUUCAAGUGAAUUAAUGAGUGUUACAUAGCUACAAAAGCUUUCAGCAAAAAUUCAACAGCCUGAACAAGAGUUAUUGUGGGCUGAUGCGAGAAGGGAGUCUGAAGUUUUUACUGUGAGUGAAAAUCACUGAGUUCUGUUUGAUGACUGACUUUACGAUAAGUCAACGAAGCUUUUAACUCUUAAUACAGUAAUUUUAAGUACACCAUUUCCAACCCUUAAAUGUGUAGCAUUAGUUCAUAAUGACAUGAUCAUUAAUUUGAACAGUCAUUUCCUCAUUUUCUCCUGAAUAAGCUGGUGUUUUUUUUCGCUGCAGGCCUGUCUUUAUGGUUUUGAGGCUACUUCAGAAAAGGAUCUCUCUGGUUGGUUGCCACCGAACCCCCCGCCUGUAUUUCUAUCAGUAACAUAUUGAGCAAUGAUAACAAAUCUCCCCUUAACAUCAACAUCACUCAGUUAGAAUUAUCCCCACAAGCAGGAUUUGUAACAAUCUUGGUUUUCAAAACAGCCAUGUUGUCUGGGAGCGUCCAGUGAAAACAAAGAGAAGAAUGGCAGAGCUAAUGUGGAGCUGGGCCUGCACAGAGUUAGGUUUCAGUCUAAUUGGGAUCAUACGCCGCAUGUGCACUUUUGGCACAUACGUUAGAUUAAUCAGGGGCUCUUUAAUCGUGGAGAAAUUCUCCUGUGCGUGGCUGGGCGGACCCUGGGCCCCCCUCACAGACCCCCAGCCUGCAUGGGCUCUGUCUAAGCACAGACCUUUUGACUCCAUAAACACCCACACUCAGAAAUUGGGGUCAACCUCUCAUUGCUAGCACCAGAGCGCUAUCAUGCCACCACAAAGGGUCCCCUUAAUGAUUAAAUUACAUCGAGUAUAGAUGUUCCGAAUCUGCAGAUUCCUGGCGGCUGACUCUUCCUCCUGAUUGUAAUUUAUGUCGGAAGUCAUUGCUGUCCAACACUCGGCCUGUUCAAAGCCCAGGAGAGAGGAUGUGCACGUGGAUGAAGUCUGCAUGGUGCAGCUGGCUGCAGCUUUAAUCUGCCUCACAUACCUCACACAGUCACCUUGUUCCGCUUGCACACACUGACACAACGGCCAUGAAUGUAUUUCUAAAAAGUGCUCGUGUUUUUCUUUCUUAUUGCUGUGACUCUUUCGCCAACCUCAGCUCAGGCCUGUGUUUAGGUUAACCUGCCAUUAAUCUGCAUAUGAUUAAGGCCUGACAUACAUUUGACAUUCUGGGCAAGGACUGAUUAGCCAUUUACUUGGAUGAUGAUGAUGAUGAUGAUGAUGAUGUGUGUGUGUGUGUGUGUGUGUGUGUGUGUGUGUGUGUGUGUGUGUGUGUGUGUGUGUGUCGCAGAUGUGGAUCCUUAGGUGAAACUGAGAGCUGUUUUAUGAGACCACCAUGUAAAAAGAAAAAGAAGUGUGCUCAGAUUAUUUUAAAAAAAGAUAUUUACAAUGAUCAGUAGGAAUGAAGAUUCUGCUAUACUCUAAUUUUGUAAAGAGCUGCCAGUGAAAAUUAUUAAAAAGAUAUUUUUUAUCCCUAAAAGUAUCAGUGUCUAAUAAUGUUGAAGAGGUUUUGUGACUUUAAAGGAUGUAAUAAUUCAAAAUAUUCAUCUUUUAGCUGAAAAGAUGAUGGACUUCAUAAUCGCACGUGUUUAAAAUGUAAAGUGUGCUGGUAAUUUCAUCUUAAAAUCAGCAAAAUUUACAAAAAUAAUAAAAUAAUGUAACAGAAACUCUUGAGAAUAAAGUGACAUUAAUAUGUGUUUUUGCAAAUUAAACUGUUUCCAGCCCUUAAGGGUGUAUUCUGAGCUGAAGAAAAGGAGCUUCGGUGUUAGUAUUGAGGGCUUGUUUAAACUGUGUUUCCUCUGCUUGAAUGAUCUGGCUUUGUUCUCGUGUUUACAGCACUUGAAAACCUGCUGACUUCAGCGCUCAUGCCGGCCACAUUAUGAGUACGGCUGCUUAUUGAUCCCACACACCGCAGCUUCAAGGACAACACCUCAACCUAAAGGGUCAGCGGGCUCAACAUGAAGCUGUGGUGGAAAAAUGACAGGGGACAAUUACAGAAAAGACACAUGUUGGACCACAGAGUCUGUGAUAUUUAAUUUUUUUUUUUUUU